rnacentral:rRNA from 1 species
GUGAAGAAGGUGUACCGUGAGGAGCGCUGGAACGCAUAGAAGUGAGAAUGCCGGUAUGAGUAGCGCAAGACAGGUGAGAAUCCUGUCCACCGUAAGACUAAGGUUUCCAGGGGAAGGCUCGUCCGCCCUGGGUUAGUCGGGACCUAAGGAGAGACCGAAAGGUGUAUCCGAUGGACAACAGGUUGAUAUUCCUAUACUAGAGUAUAUAGUGAUGGAGGGACGCAGUAGGCUAACUAAACCAGACGAUUGGAAGUGUCUGGUCAAACAGUGAGGUGUGAUAUGAGUCAAAUGCUUAUAUCUUUAACAUUGAGCUGUGACGAGGAGCGAAGUUUAGUAGCGAAGUUAGUGAUGUCACACUGCCAAGAAAAGCUUCUAGCGAUACAUAUACU